UGAAGGGCCCAAGGCAGGAAGCUUCCUGUUUACCGGAGGUCUAAGAAUGCCACAGCAGGGUUGGGCGGUCACAGUUUAGAGAGAAGUCAUUUCCUUCUAAGACUCUGCUGAAAUACAAACCAGACACGCUGCAGACCUAGAGGGCAGAUAGGGGAUGAUGGCUGGAGCCCCAGUGAUGUGGAUUGACAUCUCUGCAGAAUGGAGAGGCAACCCUGACCCCUCCCACCUGAAAAAACUAAGGCUGGCCGCUGGUCUCUGCGUGCAGAUUCCUCUACAUCCUGAAGCACACUGGUCAGCCUCAAAGAUACUAGCACUGUUUCCAUCAACCUUCCAUUGAGCAAAGCAGCCGUGUGACCAUAUCUACAGCAAGGAAGGGAACACAGAAUACAUUUACCCCAAGUUCCAUGGAGUCAUUGUUCUAAGUACAGUCUCUCAAGCAGUUAUUGGUGGCGACCAACACAUUAAACAAGUCAUCUGCAAGCCG